rnacentral:rRNA from 1 species
CAGCAGCCACGGGAAUACAGAGGGUGCAAGCGUUAAUCGGAAUUACUGGGCGUAAAGCGCGCGUAGGUGGUUUGUUAAGUUGGAUGUUAAAUCCCCGGGCUCAACCUGGGAACUGCAUCCAAAACUGGCAAGCUAGAGUAUGGUAGAGGGUGGUGGAAUUUCCUGUGUAGCGGUGAAAUGCGUAGAUAUAGGAAGGAACACCAGUGGCGAAGGCGACCACCUGGACUGAUACUGACACUGAGGUGCGAAAGCGUGGGGAGCAAACAGGAUUAGAUACCCCUGUAGUCCCUGUCUCUUAUAC